rnacentral:rRNA from 1 species
AAGACCUUGCGCUUUUGGAGCGGCCGAUGCCUGAUUAGCUUGUUGGUAAGGUAAAAGCUUACCAAGGCUUCGAUCAGUAGCUGGUCUGAGAGGACGGCCAGCCACACUGGGACUGAGACACGGCUCAGACUCCUACGGGAGGCAGCAGUGGGGAAUUUUGGACAAUGGGGGCAACCCUGAUCCAGCCAUGCCGCGUGAGUGAAGAAGGCCUUCGGGUUGUAAAGCUCUUUCAGCCGGAACGAAACGGUUACGGUUAAUACCCGUGAUUACUGACGGUACCGGAAGAAGAAGCACCGGCUAACUACGUGCCAGCAGCCGCGGUAAUACGUAGGGUGCGAGCGUUAAUCGGAAUUACUGGGCGUAAAGCGUGCGCAGGUGGUUUUGUAAGUCAGAUGUGAAAGCCCCGGGCUCAACCUGGGAACU